rnacentral:lncRNA from 1 species
CUUGUACAUGACCCUGGCUUUCAUUUGUGCCCUACGCUCUUCAAGUGUUACCCAGCCUAAAGAUUUUCGUGCCAAAAUAGACUGACCAUGUUCAUUUUUUAAGUUCAUGAUCAACCUAGCCGCUCUGUUUUGGAAUUUCUGUAGACGUUCGCUUAGGCCUUUAUUAAGUGUAUACUCAGCGAUAAUCAAAGUAAGUAGUGUAUUCACAGCAAUAAUCAAAAUAAGGUUGGAUUAAGGCAUUAUAAACUUUUAUCAAAAUGUCUUGUUCGACAUACUCCCUCAUUUUCCUAAUAGCC